rnacentral:rRNA from 1 species
UACGUAGGGUGCAAGCGUUGUCCGGAAUUAUUGGGCGUAAAGAGCUCGUAGGCGGCUUGUCGCGUCGGCUGUGAAAACUCGGGGGCUCAACCCCGAGCCUGCAGUCGAUACGGGCAGGCUAGAGUCCGGCAGGGGAGACUGGAAUUCCUGGUGUAGCGGUGAAAUGCGCAGAUAUCAGGAGGAACACCGGUGGCGAAGGCGGGUCUCUGGGCCGAAACUGACGCUGAGGAGCGAAAGCGUGGGGAGCGAACAGG